UCACCGGGGCGACAGCAAUAUGAAGGUCAGGCUGAAGACCUUACCCGAUUAGCUGAGAGGUGGUGCAUGGCCGUCGUCAGUUCGUACUGUGAAGCAUCCUGUUAAGUCAGGCAACGAGCGAGACCCACGUCCACAGUUGCCAGCAUACCCUCCGGGGUGAUGGGUACACUGUGGAGACCGCCGCUGCUAAAGCGGAGGAAGGAGUGGGCAACGGUAGGUCAGUAUGCCCCGAAUCUCCCGGGCUACACGCGGGCUACAAUGGUUGGUACAAUGGGCAUCUACCCCGAAAGGGGAAGGAAAUCUCUUAAAGCCAAUCGUAGUUCGGAUUGAGGGCUGCAACUCGCCCUCAUGAAGCUGGAAUCCGUAGUAAUCGCGGAUCAGCCAAGCCGCGGUGAAUACGUUCCCGGGCCUU
rnacentral:rRNA from 1 species